GACGAACGCUGGCGGCAUGCCUAACACAUGCAAGUCGAACGGAGAUAGCAAUAUCUUAGUGGCGGACGGGUGAGUAAUGGAUGAGUAAUCUGCCUCAUACACUGGGAUAACACAGAGAAAUUUGUGCUAAUACCGGAUGAGACCACACUACCGCAUGGUAGAGGGGUCAAAGGGCUUUACUGGUAUGAGAUGAGCUCAUCUCCCAUUAGCUAGUUGGUAAGAUAACAGCCUACCAAGGCGACGAUGGGUAGCCGGCCUGAGAGGGUGAACGGCCACAUUGGAACUUAGACACGGUCCAA
rnacentral:rRNA from 1 species